rnacentral:rRNA from 1 species
GUGGGGAAUUUUGGACAAUGGGGGCAACCCUGAUCCAGCAAUGCCGCGUGCAGGAAGAAGGCCUUCGGGUUGUAAACUGCUUUUGUACGGAACGAAACGGUCCUGGUUAAUACCUGGGGCUAAUGACGGUACCGUAAGAAUAAGCACCGGCUAACUACGUGCCAGCAGCCGCGGUAAUACGUAGGGUGCAAGCGUUAAUCGGAAUUACUGGGCGUAAAGCGUGCGCAGGCGGUUUUGUAAGACAGGCGUGAAAUCCCCGGGCUCAACCUGGGAAUGGCGCUUGUGACUGCAAGGCUGGAGUGCGGCAGAGGGGGAUGGAAUUCCGCGUGUAGCAGUGAAAUGCGUAGAUAUGCGGAGGAACACCGAUGGCGAAGGCAAUCCCCUGGGCCUGCACUGACGCUCAUGCACGAAAGCGUGGGGAGCAAACAGGAUUAGAAACCCUGGUAGUCC